CGACCGUGUGAGUCGUCCGGCAGCAGAGUUGUCGCCCCGCCGACAGCAAGCGAGUGUUCGACGGCGCUCUCUCCGAACUUCCUCAGUCUGCAACUCAACUCGACGGCGUGCGGUUCUAUCCGACGGCGACAGCGACAGCGCCAACUACAACGACAGCGUAGCGUCAGCGUAGCGUCAGCGUUUCUGCCUAUCCGUGCCGUGCCGUGCCGAGCCGUGCAUGUGCUGUGAAUGAAAAACUCUCGCGCCGACGCGACGCACCAGAACACCAUAAACCAUAAACCGCGUCCAGUGUCCACUCGGAUUCGGACUAUUUAUUUAUUUAUGUUUUUUUAAUCAAAUCACCUAUCUGUGAAUGCUAGUGACUAGUUAGUGAGUGCAAACUGCAAUUCUUCGGUGAACAUGAGAAGAAGUAGAGACCUCUGCUGGCGGCGCUUCGCUGCCGACGUAAGCAGCGCAGUAUUGCUGGAAAGUGUAUCGCUGCUGGAGUAAAAACAAAGCCAAAGCAGAGGCAAAAGAAGAGAAGACAAGAGAAAAUACAAAAAAAAAAAACACAUUAAUGCUGUUUGGCGUCUAGAGUUGUCGUAGCUGCGUUUAUUUUUUUAUAGCGGACACUGAAGCUGCCUCCGAACCAGGACCAGAAUCGCCACCAGCACCGCCGACAGCACCGUCUCCCUUGAAGGACACA
rnacentral:misc_RNA from 1 species